AGUGUCGAACUUCUAUAGUUAUGAAGUUGCGGUGGAAUGUGAUACACCGGAUUUUAAUAUAAAAGUAAAAAUAAAUAAAAAUAGUAUGAGAUACUAUUUUUAUUAGAUUUAGAGAAGUGAAAUAUGAGUCGGAAGUGACUCGUUCUAUAAUCGGAAUAAAAACAGAAGAUUUAGAAUUUUCUGUGCAGAACGGGGCAGAUAUUUUAGUAGAAAAUGCAGUGUCGAAAAAUUAUAAAAAAUGGAGAAUAUAUUAGAAUUAUUUUUAUGAGGCUAGAUUUAAAGUUUCAUGUCAUUCUAACACCCGGAAAGUGGAAAAUAAAAUCCGACUAUUAUCUACUAGAUAUUACAGUUCGGUAGAGCUUUCGGUGACCAAACAGGGUCGAAACUGAAAGAUUAAAAAUUCUUUCGCUAAGUUAAGUAAAACUGAGCAUGACUAUCAAAUUUGAGCUCAAACGGACAUUUAGAAGGGCAGACGAAAAAUAUCUGUACCUGAGCUGAAAACUGAGAGUUGAAUAGUG
rnacentral:lncRNA from 1 species